CAUGUAGGCGGACUGUUAAGUCUGGUGUGAAAGCCCGGGGCUCAACCCCGGAAGUGCAUCGGAUACUGGCAGUCUUGAGUAUGGGAGAGGAAAGUGGAAUUCCGAGUGUAGGAGUGAAAUCCGUAGAUAUUCGGAGGAACACCAGUGGCGAAGGCGGCUUUCUGGACCAAUACUGACGCUGAGAUGCGAAAGCGUGGGGAGCAAACAGGAUUAGAUACCCUGGUAGUCC
rnacentral:rRNA from 1 species